GGGGCUGACUGGAAUUGACAGCUUGUGCAGGCUGCGGGUAAGCAUGUCGGGAGUUGAGCGAGUCUCCUGUUAAAAAAGCGUUCAAACAAUAAUCGGCGAGACUAACUACGCCAUGGCUGCUUAAUCUAGGUAUUAAGCGAUAGCCAUUGUCCCGCAACUGCUUCUCCGUUCCGCGGUUGAGUACGGGGCAUCGAAAUGAAUGGAUAGCAAGGGUGAAGGUACGGCACCCAAGCGAAGCUAAAGUAUCUAAGGUACGUUCACAGGUCUGGUGCCGACCUAAACGUACUCGAAAAACCAACGGCAACUAAGCAUGUAGAAAGCUCGACGGUUUCCUUGUCUGGACCAGGGUUCGAAUCCCUGCAGCUCCACAA
rnacentral:tmRNA from 1 species